GCGCCGUCGAGGUGUUUUGUACAUAAAAGCCAAGCAAUCUGUUCCGCGAAAAAGACAUCCUUUGGUCCAUUGAGGUUUACAGUCUCGAGUUUCAGGGUCCAGAUGAGCUCCCGACCCCCAACAAUAACACCAUCACACAUCGCUUCCACCAAAUACGGAAUCCUAUCUGCAAAUCACAAUCGAAAUCCUGCAAUCCACGAUCUUCGAGGCACUCCAGCACAUCUUUGACCCAGUCUCAUGGUGAAAGAGGCGGAAAGGGGCGGAUUUGCAUCGUCUACGAUUGCGAGCCACACAUCUUGGCGAGCUGAUCUCUCCGAUUUUACGGAGACGGCACCCAGAUGAACUAUGAUAAGCUGUACCAUCAACCAGACCCUGGACUUUCAGUGGUCUGCAACGUGAAGUCCGUAAUUCACAAUCAGAGUGGGAUUGUAGCUCAUUGUUGGUGAUGCAACAUGGACUGGCACGAGUUUCUUGCCUGCAUUAUACAGCAGUCGAGGAAAAGAAGUAGUGGUAGAGGUAGGGAAGUGAUAGGAGGAAAAGAUAAAUACUUCAUUGUGAUGUCACAUCUCACAUACCAAGCUACACCUCGGCUUUUGUCUUUACAGCAUUGGUUGAAGCUUUCG